UACGUUCCCGGCCUUGUACACACCGCCCGUCACACCACGAAAGUCGGCAAUACCCGAAGCCGGUGGCCUAACCCGUAAGGGAGGGAGCCGUCGAAGGUAGGGUCGAUGAUUGGGGUG
rnacentral:rRNA from 1 species